rnacentral:rRNA from 1 species
CUCUGUGACUCCUACGGGAGGCAGCAGUGGGAAUAUUGCACAAUGGGGGAAACCCUGAUGCAGCCAUGCCGCGUGUGUGAAGAAGGCCUUCGGGUUGUAAAGCACUUUCAGUAGGGAGGAAGGUAGUGUAGUUAACACCUGCAUUAUUUGACGUUACCUACAGAAGAAGCACCGGCUAACUCCGUGCCAGCAGCCGCGGUAAUACGGAGGGUGCGAGCGUUAAUCGGAAUUACUGGGCGUAAAGCGCAUGCAGGCGGCCUGUUAAGUCAGAUGUGAAAGCCCGGGGCUUAACCUCGGAAUUGCAUUUGAAACUGGCAGGCUAGAGUCUUGUAGAGGGGGUAGAAUUUCAGGUGUAGCGGUGAAAUGCGUAGAGAUCUGAAGGAAUACCAGUGGCGAAGGCGGCCCCCUGGACAAAGACUGACGCUCAGAUGCGAAAGCGUGGGGAGCAAACAGGAUUAGAUACCCUGGUAG